rnacentral:lncRNA from 12 species
CUCCAAGAUCCAUCAGAUGCUUGAUGAGAAUCUGCUAUGUAAGGAGUCACUGUGUGAGGCGCUUUCAAGGCCGCUGUAGGCAUCAAAUGCUAUUCAGAAAGGUGAGAAAUUCUUGUUGGCAUGGAACACAUCGGAGUCAUGGGGUCCUAUUUGCCACUUAGACUGACGUCUCCAGUGAUCGGAGCCAAGACAAACUAAAUUCUGGCCAUGCUAUUGACAGGUAUUACUUGCGUGAUUUCUGAAACCAGUUGCCAAAAAUCAAAGCGGCAUCAUUGUGUAGUAAAGACUUUUCCACUGGGAUCUAAAGCCUCUUCCUUUUACGCAUAGCAUAAUUGUUCACAAGGCUCCCAGCUUGAUCUCAGCUAAAAACUUAGGUAUUUGAUCUCUGCCUAUUGCAUGUGAAGAGUUUCUGCAUGCAUCCUGAAAUGAAAACUUGCAAGAGAAGAUCCGAGUCCUCCAGGUGAUGGGUGUUCUUGAUUUAUACUGUAACCAUGUACAUAUUCAUCCAAAGGUCUCAGAAUGAGCCCGAGAUGGAUCAGCUGGGAUUCAGAGACCUGCAAUCUAUUUGCACAGGGGCUGAGGAGCCUCCUGGGAGAGCAUUAAGGGAGAAAUAAACCAGACACAAAGAAUUUGACUUAUUCAUUGGAGGGGAGAAGUGGUUCUCUGCAUAGUGUGAUCUGUCACAUGGAUUUGUCUUCUGGUCCAAUAGCCACUGGCCACCUGUUUGAGUCCCAUGAGGUGGUGGCAAUGGGAGCGGAUAAGGAGGCAUUCUCCCCAUCAUAUUGCAAGACAUUGAUCCAACCAGUGCUCACAGCUCUGGAGAUGCUGCUGCCCGAGAGCCAAGACCAUGAAGUUGCACUGUCUCCUGGGGCACUGUGUGCAGUGCAGCAGCCAUACCACCCACCUGCUCAGCAGGGCAGUGAUGUGUGGAACCAUCAACCAGCAAGACAGCAAGAGACCACGUUGGCUGGUGGAGCAGUGGACACAACGGCUGCUGGAUUUUGUUAUCCCACAGGAGAGACAAUGGGGCCAAGUAGACCAGGAGGAGAAGGGCAGCAGCACCUGCUGGUGUAUAAAUGAGACAUCUACUGUCUCGCCCAGGAGGUGGGCAGAGGUUUCUAAGAGCAAGGAAACACAGUCCUUCCCAGCAGGUGCAUCACUCCAGCCGGAUGAUGUUCCUUUCUUCUGCACUGCAUUCCGAUUCUGCAAACAAAGUUUCAAGGACCAGCAGAGUGGCACAGAAUCCUUUUGGACAAGUGGAAAGGGACAAGGCUAUGAACAAGUACUGAUUUUUUUUCCCGUCACACGUGAAAAAGCCUAGUACAGUGCCUGGUCCACAGGAGAGGAAAUGAUCAGUACAUAAUUCAUCAGCAUUAGCUACAGGAACCACAGAUUUAAGCUGUCAUGCCUCCCCAGCCCUAUCAGCCAUCAAUAUCAUCAUUCCAGAAAGUCUCCACUGACGUGCUCUUCAGUGAUCUCCCUCCCUCUGACCCUCCUUCUGUACUUCUUUUCCUUUUUUUUAAAAGAAUUUUCUAAAAAGAAUUUAUUUAAGACAGCAUUAGCAGGGGGAGAGAGAAGCAGAGGGAAAAGCAAGCUCCCUGCUCAGCAGGGACCAAUCCCAGGACCCUGCGAUCACAGCCUGAGUCAAAGGCAGAAGCUUAACCGACUGAGCCACUCAGGUGCCCCUUGUCCUUCUUUUAAAAUUUUGUCACCGUCUUAAUCCAUUCUGGCUAUUAUAACAAACUACCAUAUCCUGGUAGGCUUCUAAACCACAGAGACUUAUUCCUUAUGGCUCUGCAGAUGGGAAAGUCCGAGAUCAGGGUGCUGGCAGAUUGGCAUCUGGCAAAAGCCCACUUCCCAGUUCAUGGGUGGUUGUUGCUUCACUGUGAUGGAAGGGAGGGAGGAGCUCUCUGGGACCCUUCUUAUAAGUGCACUAACCCCAUUGAUGAGGCCUCACCCUCUAAUCACCUCUCAAAGGCCCCACCUCCUCAUACCAACACAGUGGGGAUGAGGAUUUCAACAUAAGAAUUCUAGGGAGACACAUCCUGUCUAUAGCUGUCACCUCCAAGGACAUUCAAGGAUAAAGAUGUUGAAGGGUGCCUGGGUGACUCAGUCUGGUAAGCAUUCACCCUCCCUUCAGGUCAUGAUCUCAGGGUCCUGGGAUCAAGCCCCUGCUGCAGGCUCCCUGCUCAGUGGGGAGCCUGCUUCUCCUUCUGCCUCUGCCCCUCCCCCUGCUUGAGCUCUCUCUUUCAAAUAAAUAAAUAAAUUUUUUUUAAAAAAGAGGGGAU